AGCAGCCGCGGUAAUUCCAGCUCCAAUAGCGUAUAUUAAAGUUGUUGCAGUUAAAAAGCUCGUAGUUGAAUUUCGGGAUCAGUACGCUGGUCGUGCCUUCGGUAUACACUGGUUUCACUGAUUCCUCCCUUCUGAAGAACCGUAAUGCCAUUCAGUUGAUGUGGCGGGGAAUCAGGAUUGUUACUUUGAAAAAAUUAGAGUGUUUAAAGCAGGCUCGCGCUUGAAUACAUUAGCAUGGAAUAAUGAAAUAGGACGUUUGAUCCUAUUUUGUUGGUUUCUAGGAUUGACGUAAUGAUUAAUAGGGAUAGUUGGGGGCAUUAGUAUUCAAUUGUCUAGAGGUGAAAUUCUUGGAUUUAAUUGAAGACUAACUACUGCGAAAGCAUUUGCCAAGG
rnacentral:rRNA from 1 species